UUCUUCAUGCCAGAAAAGAGAGAGCACAAGGAGAUGGUAAGAUUGGCUCCAACUUUCUUCUUCACAGUGAGUUUUUGUGUUUUCUGUUGUCCUGUCCACUCAUGAUGAAAAUGAAAAAAUAGUAAAAGUUUAGCCCAUAAUAGGCACUUUUAAAACUAAUAAAUACAUAAUUAAUUAUUAGUAAUACAAUGUGAUAGUUUUAAUGUAAAAGUUAGAAGGAAAAAAAUCCUCUGAUUGGUGUACCACACCAUGAUGCUGCUGCUCCCGUGCUUCAUUAAAGCCUAGAGCUGAAGAUGAGUGUUUCCUCUGCAGGUGAAGGUAGAAGGUGUGUGUGAGCUGAUCCAGUGGACCCGGUGAAUCCAGCAGCAUGGAUCAGUGUGAGGACACACAGGAGGGAGCCCCUCCCUCUAAAAAAGGAAGGGUUGAAAAAGAUGAGAGUCAAAGCAAAGCUCAGAUGAACCAACCUGGACCUGGAGAUAAACCCAGCUGUGUGUCCUUCAGGAGUGACAGGUCAAAGGAAUUCAUCCUUAACUUCAAAUCCAUCAGUUCAGGAGUGAAACAAGUUGACCAGCAGAGCUCAGAGACUCCCAGUGGUCCGUCUGUC